CUAAAUUCACUUAUUUUGACCUUAAAAGUUGUAGAAGUUAGCUGAGUGGCAGUGCCGCAUGCCUUUAGUCCCAGCACUCAGAAGGCAGAAGCAGGCGGAUCUCUGAACUUGAGGCCAGUCUGGUUUAUAUAUCCUGUUCUGUCCCAGAACAUCCAGAACUACAUAAUGGAGAGUCCCUCUCUCAAACAAAAUAUAAUAAUAAUGAUAAUAAUAGUAAUAAUAAUAAUAUGAUAUAACAUGAUCAUAUGAUAAAGGCAAAGAAGACAGAAAGAAGAAAAAGAGCAAAAAGCAUUUUUAACAUUUCAGGGUUCUUUCUGUUCCCAGUGCAGCAUGGCUCAUGGUCCCAAGAGACAUAGCUCCAAAACAUUAGCUACUGAAUAAAUAAACUGGCAUGUUCCUCCUUAUCCGUCCACUGGUUCCCACAAGCUAAGAGAAUGUCUAUCUCUGAUCACUUCUGUAAGUGUAGAUGUAAGUGUGCCUUGACAGGAGAGAAAGUUAAAAAGAUUUGCAUGCAGCACUUCAUUAAGAUUGAUGGCAAAGCAGGACUGAUCUAAUCUAUCCUGCUGAAGAAGUAGAGUCAGGUUUGGGAAUGCCAGAGGAGUGAUUAAACAGCUAAUGAAUGUGGUAGUUUGGAUGAGAAUAACCCCCAUAAGCUUAUAUAUUUACUAGUCUGGUUCCCAGUUGAUGGUCUGUUUAGGAUUGGAAGAUAUAGUCUAGUUGUAGGAGGAAUGAUACUGGGGGUGGAAGUUUCAAAUAUCCAUGCCAGACCCAGUCUUACUCUUGCUGCCUGCAACAUGCAGAUUAGAUGUGUAUUCUUAGCCACUAGUCCAGCAACAUUCCUGCCUGCUACCAUGCUCUCUGCCAUGAUGAUCAUGAACUAACCCUCAGAAAUUAUAAUUAAACUCCCAAUUAAAUGCUUUCUUCUAUAAGCCACCUCAGUCAUUCAUGGUGUCUCUUCAUAGUUAUAGUAACCCUAGCUAAGACCAUGAAUUACUAAAAUUAUACAUAUAUAAUUUCAAGUUGAGAGACAGUAUAGAAGCAGCAAUGCCAUUCCUAAUGUGUGUUGGACUUAAAACUUACUGCUUUGAGGGAGUAGUUCUCCCACUGUGUCUCAGAGCACCUCAGGGCCUCUAGAGGAUCAACCUUUAUGAUGAUGUUCUCUGGAAAAGCCAUGAAUUGUUCCACCUGAACCAAAAAUAAGUUAUAGAAAGUCUAGAAAAUGUCUAUCUGUGACACUUAUCAAACAUUAAGUGUAUCUCUGGCCAGAAAAACAGAAAUUAAGAAACUCAAAGUGACAUACAAACCAUCUGGGACAGAUCAGUCACUGAUAGUCUAAUGCACUCACCAACAAUACUUUAAGAUGAACUUCAGCAUGAACUCUCAAAAUGAUAGUGAUGAAGAGACAGAAACAUGACUCCAUACAGUCAGUGUUAGCAACCUGAGGAGUUUCCCUAGACUUCUAGGGAUCUCAGCUAAGACCCAACCAGCAGCAUUGACUUUAACACUGAAAAGGACUACCCAGUAUAAUAAAGAUAUUUUAACACAAAAAGGACUAUUAAGAGGGGGGGCGGGAAAAAAGAGCUGCCGGGAGAGAAAAUGAAGGGGCAGCAGAUGUGGUUCCGGGCUUAAAAGUUGCUACUUUUGCAGGACCUGAGUUCGGUUCCUAGCACCUGUAGCAAGCCACUUACAACUAACUAUACUUCCAGCUCUAGGGUUUCC
rnacentral:lncRNA from 1 species